rnacentral:rRNA from 1 species
CGGCCCGCGUCUGAUUAGCUAGUUGGGGAGGUAAAGGCUCACCAAGGCGACGAUCAGUAGCUGGUCUGAGAGGAUGAUCAGCCACAUUGGGACUGAGACACGGCCCAAACUCCUACGGGAGGCAGCAGUGGGGAAUCUUGCGCAAUGGGCGAAAGCCUGACGCAGCCAUGCCGCGUGAAUGAUGAAGGUCUUAGGAUUGUAAAAUUCUUUCACCGGGGACGAUAAUGACGGUACCCGGAGAAGAAGCCCCGGCUAACUUCGUGCCAGCAGCCGCGGUAAUACGAAGGGGGCUAGCGUUGCUCGGAAUUACUGGGCGUAAAGGGAGCGUAGGCGGACAUUUAAGUCAGGGGUGAAAUCCCGGGGCUCAACCUCGGAAUUGCCUUUGAUACUGGGUGUCUUGAGUAUGAGAGAGGUGUGUGGAACUCCGAGUGUAGAGGUGAAAUUCGUAGA